rnacentral:rRNA from 1 species
CGAACGCUGGCGGCAGGCCUAAUACAUGCAAGUCGAACGGCUCUUCGGAGCAGUGGCGGACGGGUGAGUAACGCGUGGGAAUGUGCCCUUAGGUACGGAACAACACAGGGAAACUUGUGCUAAUACCGUAUGUGCCCUUCGGGGGAAAGAUUUAUCGCCUUUGGAGCAGCCCGCGUUGGAUUAGGUAGUUGGUGAGGUAAAGGCUCACCAAGCCGACGAUCCAUAGCUGGUCUGAGAGGAUGACCAGCCACACUGGGACUGAGACACGGCCCAGACUCCUACGGGAGGCAGCAGUAGGGAAUCUUGCGCAAUGGGCGAAAGCCUGACGCAGCCAUGCCGCGUGUAUGAUGAAGGUCUUAGGAUUGUAAAAUACUUUCACCGGGGAAGAUAAUGACGGUACCCGGAGAAGAAGCCCCGGCUAACUUCGUGCCAGCCGCCGCCGUAA